GUGUCAGCCGCCGCGGUAAAACGUAGGUCCCGAGCGUUGUUCGGAUUCACUGGGUGUAAAGGGCGCGUAGGUGGUUGUCUGUGUCUCAUGUGAAAACUCAGGGCUCAACUCUGAGAUUGCGUGGGAAACUAGGCAGCUAGAGGACGGUAGAGGGGAGUGGAAUUCCCGGUGUAGCGGUAAAAUGCGUAGAUACCGGGAGGAACACCAGUGGCGAAGGCGGCACUCUGGUCUACCCCUGACGCUGAGGCGCGAAAGCUAGGGGAGCGAACCGGAUUAGAUACCCGGGUAGUCCUAGCCGUAAACGAUGGGUGCUAGGUGUUGGGGGGUAAAGACCCUUCAGUGCCGAAGCUAACGCGAUAAGCAUCCCACCUGGGGAGUACGGCCGCAAGGCUGAAACUCAAAUGAAUUGGCGG
rnacentral:rRNA from 1 species